rnacentral:lncRNA from 10 species
CGGGUGGGAGCUGCGUCCCCAGCGGCUGUGCUGCCGCCUAGGCAGUUGGGGGCUACCCUAGCCUUCCCAGAUCAGCCUUUGGCCUCGUCUUCUCUGAGGGUCUCCUUUCCUUGCUCCUGCCUUGAUGAGAGAGAGAGGGAUGACGGCAAGCGCCUUGCUGGUGUGGCCCCGAGCCCAGAAGUCCCGAAAAUUUGCCUGGAUAAAAUACUUCAUUACCUGCCUUGUGGGGGCUUAGAAAUGUAAGGAGACUACAUUCAGGGUGCUUUCUUG